UACGUAGGAGGCAAGCGUUGUCCGGAAUUAUUGGGCGUAAAGCGCAUGUAGGCGGUCUUGUAAGUCAGGUGUUAAAUCCCCGGGCUCAACCCGGGUUCGCACUUGAUACUGCAGGGCUUGAGAGAUAUAGAGGAAAGCGGAACUACCGGUGUAGCGGUGAAAUGCGUAGAUAUCGGUAGGAACACCAGUGGCGAAGGCGGCUUUCUGGAUAUUUUCUGACGCUGAGAUGCGAAAGUUAAGGGAGC
rnacentral:rRNA from 1 species